ensembl:lncRNA
AAAUUUUCUGGAUGGUAAACAUGUCUUCAGCAAGGGACAAAGAAAUAAUUGAGUGUGCAUGCGGAGCACCUGUUGUAUCCGAAACGGUUCUGUUACACAGAUCAUCUUCUGUCCUCCUUUCUGAUGCAGGAUUGGAUUCUGUAGCUCAUGACAAAAUACCAAGAUGAGAGGGAGAAAAGGAUGAGAUGAGAGGGGAAGUAGCGGGAGGCAGAAGGUUUUAUGUUGUGCUGUUUGUCUCCAGCAAAGGACAAGUGCUGAGAGAAGCAGAAAAGACAGUCCUGAAAAAAGUGCAUUAUGAAGGUGCAAAAGAAGAUGAGGAUGAAACAAAAAGAGCAACAAAACGACGCUCCAAAUUUUGUCAUCUUCUGUCACUCCUACAGGAUGACUCAACAUGACAUACUGAAUUAAACAUGCUAUGACGUCAUCAAGUGACAACAAUGUAUCAUCCCUCCAACUUAAAAUGUUUAUUGUUUAAGAGUGGGCUGUAUGCUUUAUGUACUGUGCUUUAUACAAUGAUAUAAAUCUAACAGAAGCAUAUAAUUUCAAAAAUGUCUGUUGGUAUGUAUAUACCACAAAUUCUACAAAGAAUGUGACUGUAUUAAAAUGAAAAAAUGCGUAUCUUUGUCCCAAAAAAUAUCCAAGGACCAUACUGAACUAUUCAGAUUUUCAGGUGAGACUUUAGCUCUCUAUUGAUAAAGACACAAAAAGAACUAUCAGAACAAAUAAAAAAGAAAAACUAUUGCAAGAGACAGUGAAACACACGGUGUGUGUGCGUGUGUGUGUGUGUGUGUGUGUGUGUGUGUGUGUGUGUGUGUGUGUGUGUGUGUGUGUGUGUGUGUGUAUCAUUCUUCUGAGAGUGUGUCAGUCUCCAUGGGAGGGCUAUGUUUGACAGACGGUAGGAUGGAACAAAACGGACAAGGACAUACAGAGGAGAGACAGACAGCUUUACAACUCUUUGAAAAUCACUCAUCUGCCAUCUCAAGGGUGUGUGAGUGUGUCUAAGUGCACGAGAGCUUCCCAUCCAUAACAUCCUAAUUUUCCAGCCACCUCUAACUGACACACUGCCAAAUUUAC